rnacentral:rRNA from 1 species
UGGGGAGCAAACAGGAUUAGAUACCCUGGUAGUCCACGCCCUAAACGAUGCGAACUGGAUGUUGGGUGCAAUUUGGCACGCAGUAUCGAAGCUAACGCGUUAAGUUCGCCGCCUGGGGAGUACGGUCGCAAGACUGAAACUCAAAGGAAUUGACGGGGGCCCGCACAAGCGGUGGAGUAUGUGGUUUAAUUCGAUGCAACGCGAAGAACCUUACCUGGCCUUGACAUGUCGAGAACUUUCCAGAGAUGGAUUGGUGCCUUCGGGAACUCGAACACAGGUGCUGCAU